rnacentral:rRNA from 1 species
ACUCCUACGGGAGGCAGCAGUGGGAAUAUUGCACAAUGGGCGCAAGCCUGAUGCAGCCAUGCCGCGUGUAUGAAGAAGGCCUUCGGGUUGUAAAGUACUUUCAGCAGUGAGGAAGGUGGUAUGUUAUAGUCAUACUCAUUUGACGUUAGCUGCAGAAGAAGCACCGGCUAACUCCGUGCCAGCAGCCGCGGUAAUACGGAGGGUGCGAGCGUUAAUCGGAAUUACUGGGCGUAAAGCGCAUGCAGGUGGUUUGUUAAGUCAGAUGUGAAAGCCCGGGGCUCAACCUCGGAAUUGCAUUUGAAACUGGCAACUAGAGUACUGUAGAGGGGG